rnacentral:tRNA from 1 species
GGGGAUGUAGCUCACAGGUAGAGCACUUUCCUAGCAUGUGUGAGGCCUGGGUUCAAUCCCCAGUACCCCCU